rnacentral:rRNA from 1 species
GAUGAACGCUGGUGGCGUGCCUAAUACAUGCAAGUCGAGCGAACAGACGAGGAGCUUGCUCCUCUGACGUUAGCGGCGGACGGGUGAGUAACACGUGGAUAACCUACCUAUAAGACUGGGAUAACUUCGGAAAACCGGAGCUAAUACCGGAUAAUAUAUUGAACCGCAUGGUUCAAUAGUGAAAGACGGUUUUGCUGUCACUUAUAGAUGGAUCCGCGCCGCAUUAGCUAGUUGGUAAGGUAACGGCUUACCAAGGCAACGAUGCGUAGCCGACCUGAGAGGGUGAUCGGCCACACUGGAACUGAGACACGGUCCAGACUCCUACGGGAGGCAGCAGUAGGGAAUCUUCCGCAAUGGGCGAAAGCUUGACGGAGCAACGCCGCGUGAGUGAUGAAGGUCUUCGGAUCGUAAAACUCCGUUAUUAGGGAAGAACAAAUGUGUAAGUAACUAUGCACGUCUUGACGGUACCUAAUCAGAAAGCCACGGCUAACUACGUG